rnacentral:rRNA from 1 species
AGCUUUGUUCUUUAAAACCUAAAGAAUUUGGCGGUGUCUUAGUCCUUUUAGAGGAAUUUGUCUCGUAAUCGAUAAUCCUCGUUUUAUCUUUCUUUAAAUUGUUUAUUCAGUAUGUAUACCGCCGUUAUAAGUUUAUAUUGUUAGAUUUAAUUUACUUAAAAUUUUAUUUUAUUUUAUUUCAGGUCAAGGUGCAGCUUAUUUUAAAGUGUUGAUGAGUUACAAUAUAUUUUGUAUAUACGUAUAUAUAUUUUAAAAUUUAUAUUGAAGGUGGAUUUAUUUGUAAUUUUAUUGAUAGUUUUAUUUUGAUUAUGGCUCUAAGAUGAGUACACAUCGCCCGAUCGCUCUA